rnacentral:lncRNA from 1 species
GAUGGCCUUCGGAACAGCACUGGACUCGGUCCCCAAAGCAAAUUUGUGGUUGGUAGCAGCAGCAAUAAUGUGGGUCAUGGAAGUAGUACUGGGCCAUGGGGCUUUCCCCAUGGAGCCAUAAUAAGCACAUGUCAGGUCUCUGUGGAUGCUCCUGAAAGCAAACCAGAAAGUAGUAACAGUAGAAUGAAUGCUUGGGGCACUGUAAGUUCUUCAUCAAAUGGAGGGUUAAAUCCAAGCACUUUGAAUUCAGCUAGCAACCAUGGUGCCUGGCCAGUAUUAGAAAACAACGGACUUGCCCUAAAAGGGCCUGUAGGGAGUGGGAAUUCUGGCAUCAAUAUUCAGUGUAGUACCAUAGGCCAGAUGCCUAACAAUCAGAGUAUCAACUCU